ACCACAGUGACAUCCAUUUCACCUUCUGCUCAUCAUCAAUUAACCAUGGAUAUACAUUUACUAUUUUCUGAAUCGCUAGUCAAGCAUAGGAAAAAAUACUUCAGUUCAGAGGAGUUGUAUUCGGCCACACCUAUCAGAAGACGCCUCAAUCUAUAGGUAAGCUAUUCUAUGUUGCAUUGCUGCUUAUGAUUUCAUAUUCUAUCUACACUUCUCAAAUUUAUGUUGUGGGGCUUCACACAGAAUUAGUAUAUUCCCUAAUAAUUAAUUUGUAUUUCUCAAACAAAGUCUUAAAAGAAAUACAGAUUCAAUAACUUCCGAACGUCAGGAUUUUAGCGUUUAGUCCUGAACGCCUCGACUGCCGUCAGAUGGUUUGCAUAGAUCUUAGAGCAGGUGACACUGCCAAGUCAGCAGAGAAUUAGUUCGGGAUUUUCCUCCUAACUCCCGAACGACCUCGUCUCCUUCUCCCCCCGCAGCCUUAUCCUUUCUUUCCCUCACCCACUCUUCCUCUCCACAACGUCUUUGUGGAUCGCUGCUGCCGCCAGCUCCCCGCGCCGCCGCGUUGGGCGGGGUCGAGGCCGCAUACAUCCUCGUCAUCCUCGCCGGCGUAGAGGUGCGGUCGUGGCGGAGGCCAAGCGCCACCUGCUCGCCUGCGCCGCCGCGGCAGCCGUCUCCCCUCCUCGAGCUCGUUCAGGCGAUGCUCACCGAAGCGCGGCGUGACUCUGGUUCGCCCCCACCGGCUAGAGGUGCGGCCGUGGCGGAGGAAGAGUACCGCCCGCUCGCCUACGAUGCGGCGGCGGGCAUCUUGGUCAUCUCCCUCCUCAAGCUCACCGACCAGCUCGAGGUGUGAUCACGCGAAGAGGGCGGGCGCGGCGGCGGCUGAGGCGUACAGGAGCAGCAUGCGCGGCGGCGGAGCAAAGCAACGCCGUGCCAUCUCUGCUCCCGACCGGUGAAUUGGGGGAGGCAGCGACGAGUCCAGCCAUUCCCGGCGUGCACCGGGCGGAGAGCGGAGUCGGGUGCCCGGCGACGAAUCCCCUGGGACAGUGCCAUGCGUCCGCGCGGGGGGGGGUGACCCGAUGGGAGCCCGGCGGGGAGGUGCUCGAGCUCGAGCUACACCACGGGCGAGGGGGAUCCGACAGGCGAUUCCCUCCACUGCUUCAGCUGUUGAUUCUCUCUGUCCUGUGGUUGAUGCGGCUGCUGAUUCGUCGUCUCUACUUUAGGAUGGUCGUGUUGCUGUUUCGGCUUGAUCAGUGUUGCCUGCAGGGUUUUGCUACUAUGCGUUACCUUUAUUGUUUUCUAUAUAUCUUUCUUUUGUUCCACCUGCUUGAUGAUUUCUUUUCUAUGUAUUUAUUCGUUGGCUGCUAUUCCGGAUGCUGUUUAUCUUCAUUACUAAUGCUAAAACUUGAAACCUGAAUGUAGCUAUAUAUCAGGUAGUUCAAGUUGUUCAGAAAAUGAUGAUUGAUCUUGAGAUCAUAUCGUACCUA